AUUUUUGACAAUUCUAUGCACAGUAAAGUAGUUAUGAGGUGAAGAACCAGGCCAAGCUCUUCUAGGAAGAAAAAUGAAUAGAGAGCUUUCCCCACCUGAAGUCAAGGAGCUGUUACAGCACAGAGAGGAGAUAAUCUAGGAGGAUGUAAACAUCCAUGACCACUUUGGAAGAUAAAAAUGGAGGGCUUCCAGGAAAUGCAUGACUUUGCUGGACCACACACAGUGAACCACAGGUUGAAGAGCAAAGGAGCCAAGCAAUCAUGGACUAAAACCUCAGCAACUGUUGUCUCCCUGAUGUGCUACAGUGAUAGCAAAAUGACUACGACAGAAUAGUUGGAAGACAGACUAUACUAUGUCAAUUCCCUCCACGGAUACCAUGAAGAUGCAUGGAAGGCUUCAAAAGCAAAGUAGACAUUCCCAUGGAAAAGGUUAACUACAAAGAUAAGUCAUGCAGUUGGAAAGACGAAUGGGCCUAAACCCUUCAGAAUGAAAAUAGGAAAACAUGAAUAAAUACUUGAAAUACUACUUCCA
rnacentral:lncRNA from 1 species